rnacentral:tmRNA from 1 species
GGGGUCGAUCCGGCUUCGACGUGGGUCGCGACGCAGUGUAGGGCAUGCCGAGCACCAGUAAGCUCGUAAAUCCACUGGAAAAAACACAAACGCCAACGACGAGCGUUUCGCUUUAGCCGCCUAGUGCGGUAAGCCGCUGCACUAAUUUGUCUUUGGGUUAGGUAGGGUAAAACCUACAGCAGCGUCAUUUACAAAGAAUCGGAUCUUGCUGGGUCACUCGGCCUGAUCUUAAAUUGACGUGAAUCGCCAAGGAAGGGCCUGUCGGUUGGCACGCUCCAAGGUUAAAAAAUUAAAAUUAACCGAAUAAGCAUGUAGAACUGCCUGUAGAGGGCUUGCGGACGCGGGUUCAAUUCCCGCCGACUCCACCA